GCCAGAGUUUGGGUAGUGGAUGGAGGGGUGGCGGGUCGCCCAACAACGGGGACAGAGGGCCGGCAAGGGGUAAGGCAUGAGCGAUCGAGGGAGAGAGCUGGAGUUGGGAGGGGAAACAGGGAUGGAGAUCGUGCUCCUGAAUGUGUGGGACGAGAAGGGGCGGGGAAGGGCAGCUUAGACCAGCGACUUCACGUGCUCCUCCGAGAGCUCGACCAGUACGAGCGCCCGCUCGGUCGGAAUCCGCGGUAGCCUCCGCCUGCGUGCCCUGAGUGGUCGCCGCUGCGGGACGGGGCGGACCGGAGUGGGCGCUACUCUGUGCGGCAGGGCGGGGGCGCGGGUUGAGCUCAUACUUCCGCACCUCGUUCUACCGCCCGGUGGCACCGGCACCGCCGCCCAACACCACCAGCGAGAGCCCCUCCACCGCUGCUAAUACCGCAACUCGCCACCAUACCAGUCACGCCCCACCCUCGCCGCCUCCAACCAUGUGGUGUUUCCUUCAACUUCUCGCUCCCGCACUCCCCGACCGGUAGGAGCGCUUCAGCCAUAUUAAUUAUCCUCCGCCACGCCGGUCCGCUACCCCGCUGUGCUCCGCCUAGGCGGACUAGCGACCACCCGUCAGGUGGAGCAGAGGCUAGAGAGGCGCGGCCGCAACUACGAUAAGUCCGCUCCCUACGAGGAGGCUGCUCCGCCGAGGGACACCAACUGAGAUGAGCUGCUGACGUCCUAAGUGCAGCUGUGCUACGCCCAUGUACCGCUCUUCCACUAAGUUCUCCCCUGCGUCCAUGCAAAAGGGACGGUGUAACACGACCACCUUUCUGGUGAACCUCGGCUCCGCCUCUGCGCCACCCUACGCAUCUAGCUCCAACUUCUCCUCUCGCUCGCAGUCCUUACCUCCUCUCAAUUUCGACGCCGCGCCAUGCCACGCUGGUAAGGGAGGGGAGAGCUGCUUUAGGUGAGAGGGAGGGAGGGUGUUCGCUCACGCGGCGUGGUCCUCUAGGUACCGCAGGACCUUCGGCUCCGAGCUCCGUUCCCGUUCCCAUUAUCGACUGCCCCUGCUUCACUUAUACCUCUUCGACUACAACUAGUAGAGAACCAAGCGCCUCCUUGCCCUAGACUUCCUCCACCGCCCCCGCCGUAUGUCCUUCGUAUGUCUCCGCCUCCUGACCGCUGAGUGCGGCAACCCGCUCGGCCAACCGCACGAGUCCUAUAACGAGACCCGCUACCUCCUCCGCCGAAGUCUGCUGGGGUUCGUUAGGUACUUCACCUUCCGUAAAGUUAGCGCGACGGCGCGAGGCCGUCCGGGCAGCCUUAAACACCAACCACUCCACUACCCGGAGGGAUGUGGACACGGACGCUGUCGCUCCCUCCGCGCCCUUCUAGACCCUUCGCUGUUCCGUUUCCUUCCUUGCUUCGGACCACGCUUCUUCUUCUUCUACAGCAACUAGGACUCCUCCAGCGGCGCGAAGGGGGCAGCAAGCGGUGUAGACGAGUCGGAGCGGGCGAGGGUCCCUGCCACCAUCCUUGGAGUGGCCGCCCGUCAGCAAAGACCGACGAGCGACCACUCCUAAGGCUACUCCUCCGACCCGGGAACAACCUCAACGUUCCAUGCUAAAAGGGAUAUAGAUUUAUAGAGUAACUUGGAUGUAGCCACCCCCACAGCCCCAGUUUUGGUCGCCUAGAGCCCAUCCCCCAGGGCUUGAUACACAGACUCCAACUACCAUUGUCCUCUGUCACCUGUGUUUCAAAAUGGGUCCAAGCCCGGGAGAACUACCUCCAUUAUGGGAUGCAGGACGAACUAAUAUAACUACUCAUAUCCCCAAUGUUCUCAACUAGAUGGUGUUCUAGCAUUACCGAUUUGGGGAUCUUCAGAUCGGAUAUACUAAUACUAACGGAGAUGCCUGAUCUGGGAGGCCAAAUAUAUCUGUAGCCUCCCCUGAUCCCAACAUGUUUCAGCCAAUGUAUCUUUUCUUUAUCAUGUAGACCGGUGGAUCGUCAGGAAGGUACGUUUCCUCUCAGGAUAGGCCUGUGCCCUCUUUCGGAAGAUAGAAUAUAGAAGUACCGGGUUAUCAGGCCGAGUGCAGUGUGUCCUGCCUGCGGGCUCCUGGGGAAUUAGGUCCUGAGGGAAUCAUCGGGGAUUUGAUCCGAAGUUACUGCUCCACAGGCCGCACGUCUAACAGAAACCGUAACGUUCUACCCAAGGAGGAGGCUUAUGAAGUUUUGUCGAAAGCUUGUGUUUCUUGUACGGGUCGAGACGUUUUGUUCGUGGUGUGUGUUGGCGUCUCUCGUAUUAUAAAGUGCUCAGGUUAGAUGACUGUUGAAAGGUAUCGCACUACGGUGCAGUGGUGGGCCAGCAAUAAAACUUGGCAAGAAGCCGGACGGCGAGGUACGAAACUCUACGCCAAAAUAACCGUGCAGAAUAGUUUCGUCUCUAGCACAGGGGAAUAAUGCCCUAAAAGUAGUUACUUCCGCACCAAUUAGGUUGACACGGAGAACCCUUUGUACGCUCAAAAUUCCGAUCACCCCCCCGCGAACUAUAAGUGACGGAAAUAUUUCCCUAUUCCUGAGUGGGGGAAAGUGGGUGUGGAAAGAGAGAGAGAGAGAGAGACGGGUAGUCAAGAGCUCGAGGUCGCGGGUUCGAGGGUAGGAAAGACGGAGGCUUGUCGUGAGGUCUGUACAGACCUAGACCUCGUGUUCCGUUCACCUACCACAGGAUACACUUCCUCUUCCCGUAGUGGUUCGAGGCUCCUCCAGCCCAUAGAUCGGUUUCUUUGGCGGGUGGCCGAAGGCCGGUUCCCUGACUAGCAGGGGUGGGGUCACGGGGUACUCUCCCAGCACAAGUAGGGGGUGAAGUAGACACCCGACCCUAAAGGAGAGGUGGGGAAGCAGGCGCCAGAGUACAAGAUGAUGCCCGAUCUAAAAAUACUAGACCGGGGGUUAAGGAAGGAGUUGUAGAGUCGUAAGUAACAGCACACGCUCCGGAAGGAGGUAUUGGGAGGGGUGAAGCCUAACACCGACUUCCAAAAGUUGUACUUCGACUUCCACCACCUACUGGUUGUACGUCUCACGUUUCCGCGGUACCGCUCGUUCAACGGGUUACAGUGUACCGGGUUUCCAUGGAAACACCGCUGCCAGUUCCCCCACCGUUGUCGACACCAAGAUACAGUGUCUCGGAGCGCAAUGGUGGAUCCGGCGUCGAGAGCUUAAGAUCAGGCCGCGGGGCUACGCCGAGUGGAGAACCGAUCUCUUCCCGGACCUGACCAGAAGCAGCCUACUCGACUGUCGUGAGGUUUGCGCGUAGUUCGCGUACCACCUGUUCUUGCAAUUCGAACAGUUGCACUAAGUCCACUACGAGCGAGCGGCCUAGGACGGUACGGUUUCGGCCUAAACGGUGAACACCCUCAAGCUGGGCCGGUUCGUGGCCUGGAACGUUGUCAAGAAGCUGUGAUGCGUGCUUCUGUAGACCUUCCACGAGAAGUUCCGGUUGCUCUGCACCGGCUGCUGCUAGCUCCUGGCGCCCGCACUGGACCGGGUAGGACGAUCACGCCAUUCACAAGGUAUAAAGUUCCACAUGGGAAAUGAACGCAUGAGUUCCUUCUAAAGAUUUGAAGGGAUAGAACAAAAAAGUCCCGACAUGUUUCUUCCGCCUGGCCUAAGUCACAGGCCGAGGCGACGGACUUCUUGGUCGUUAGGGCGAAGACUGCUUCUACGACCAAGGCCGCGGGAUAGUCCGCGGCCUCUUCUUCCGGUUCCCCUGGUCUCCACCAGAGGUGGCAUUCCCGUGAAGUCUGCACUGCAAGCUUCUGCGGCUGUAGGUGAGGGGAGGGCGGUGGCUGCUGCUCCUUCUCCUCCUUUCUCUAAGAGGGAGAGUUCCCCCUACCUUCUUUUCUCGCCGGAGGUGCGUAGACCUCCGUCUCCGCAGGUUCUUCCCCUUCCGGAGGCGGCGCCUGUUGGGGCACACCCUAUAGCUGUCGUCUAGGAUCACCGCGGGGUCCCUAUUCGGGGACCGGCUUAGUAUUCAUGAGUUUCUGCGUGAGUUUAUAGGUCGAGGAAAUGAAAUAUCGAAAUUGUACAACUUAGUACGUGAACGUCAGGCCGAGCGAGGCUUGAGCUCGCUAGGAGUAGAAGCCCUUUGAGCGACCUAGGCUUCCACUACCUGUCGCCCAGAGAAGGCCACCGGAGGAGAGGGUUCUGACACCUUCUGCAACUUUACGACAGGACUUCCUGUGAGGGCCGAGUCCCCCUCCGUGUCUGCCGGCAAUGCCCCCACGGUCUCCUGUUAUGGAGCCGGCGGCCUGUGUACCCCCUCGUCUAGGGGUACCUAUGACCGCUACCCCCGGUAGAGGUUAAACCGGGGGUCGGCUUGUGCUAUGGCCUCUGGAUAUACCGUGGACUUAGGUCGUCUGUCGGAGGAAGUUUCCUUCCUCCACGCGGUUAAGGUGGCCACUGGAGACAGGUAGGUCUCCGUGGUCUAUGAGAUAACCUUCGCGACGCUUCACGAAGGUAACAACUCCUUGUGGCAUGGGAAUACCCAUACCACCAACUCUCCAAAGUCAGGCAGUUCUCGCCUAACUGGCUUCGGACGUGUUCGGAAGAUUGUCCUAAACUCCAUUCGCUACGUUAAUAUAUAUUCCUUAUAGUAUCAUAUCUGUCAUCGGGGACUCUGAGAUAGGCCACAAGUCUUUCUUCUCGGCCUGUCUCCUAGUUCAUUAAAAACGUCCUCUGAUUGAUUUAUACACUAUGCAGAGGUUGCAUAGAUAUUAAAAAAUAACAAGGUACGAUAAUAUAAUAGACAAAACCUACAAUUACCCGAAAUAAAAUGUGAAAAUAUAAUAAAAACCCUGAUUGGAUAAUUGGGUUCCGGGUCACGUUUAACGACAAAAAACGGAUAAAAUCACAAAGCAUCUUUUCCUUAUAGUUUGCCUUACUUUGGAAGCCCUUGCACUAAAAACCUUGUUUACACUAGAUCUCCUGAACCUCACCUGCAGUUCUUUACUUGCUCCUCAGGUGCUCCGUUCCCCGCGCGGAUGGGGGUGACCCGCACGGGAGGGGCAGCACCCGGGGAGCACCGAGUUGGCUGGAUGGAAAAGGAGGAUAUAUAUGAGUAUAUGGGACUUUUGUAGGCCCUCGUGGUGCUUUGGAAUAAAGGUGGCGGUGUUGGAAGACAUGGGUUCUCUAGGGUAGAACCCCGGAAAAGGUCUCGAGGCGGCCUCCCCCGUAGCUAGUGCCUCCCGGAGAUGUAGUUGACAUACCGGGGAGGCUACUACACACUCAUCAAAUGAAAUCUGGAAGCCCAGGUAUCAAUAAUCGAUCUACCGAAGAAGAGAGAGAAACUUAGAGUUAUGUUUCAAGAGGAGCUAGAAGAACCUCUAGAUAAGCUACAUUGAGAAAAACGUCACACAAACAGCUCUAGGCUACUUAACACCCAAAUACUAGUUCAGAUAGAUACUUGUUAUAAACUAAGA
rnacentral:rRNA from 1 species